UACGUAGGUGGCAAGCGUUGUCCGGAUUUACUGGGCGUAAAGGAUGCGUAGGCGGACAUUUAAGUCAGAUGUGAAAUACCCGAGCUUAACUUGGGUGCUGCAUUUGAAACUGGGUGUCUAGAGUGCAGGAGAGGUAAGUGGAAUUCCUAGUGUAGCGGUGAAAUGCGUAGAGAUUAGGAAGAACACCAGUGGCGAAGGUGACUUACUGGACUGUAACUGACGCUGAGGCAUGAAAGCGUGGGGAGCAAACAGG
rnacentral:rRNA from 1 species